rnacentral:lncRNA from 1 species
UCAGCUGGCAUUGACGCAACAUAAAAUCUCAUGUUCUUGGCAGACAAGACUGGGAGAUGGGGAGUUGGCCACAAGACUAGCAGUACUGCAGGAAGAAGUUGGAGAAGAGCCUUUCCCUAGACUCCCCAACAAAACAGGGGAAGUGACUAGAAUCUGCUUCCCCUGGCAACAGAGCACACUGGGCCAAGGUUUCGAGAAGAAGAGGAGAUGGAGAAAUGGCCC